rnacentral:rRNA from 1 species
UACGGAGGGAGCUAGCGUUAUUCGGAAUUACUGGGCGUAAAGCGCACGUAGGCGGCUUUGUAAGUUAGAGGUGAAAGCCUGGAGCUCAACUCCAGAAUUGCCUUUAAGACUGCAUCGCUUGAAUCCAGGAGAGGUGAGUGGAAUUCCGAGUGUAGAGGUGAAAUUCGUAGAUAUUGGGAAGAACACCGGUGGCGAAGGCGGCUAUCUGGACCGACAUUGACGCUGAGGCGCGAAAGCGUGGGGAGCAAACAGG